rnacentral:rRNA from 1 species
GACAGAGGUGCCGAGCGUUAGGCGGAAUCACUGGGCUUAAAGCGUGUGUAGGCGGAUUCCUAAGUACCUUGUGAAAUCCCACGGCUCAACCGUGGAACUGCUCGGUAUACUGGGUAUCUUGAGCCACUUAGGGGCGACCGGAACAAAUGGUGGAGCGGUGAAAUGCGCAGAUAUCAUUUGGAACGCCAAUGGUGAAAACAGGUCGCUGGGAGUGUGCUGACGCUGAGACACGAAAGCCAGGGGAGCAAACGGG